UUUCCUCCCAGACUGGGUUUAGGUAGCCCCCAGAUCUAACAGCCAGCAGAUCCAGAACUCCACUUGUGGCACAUCAGCCACCAUUCUGUACAGUGUGGUAAUGGUGGUGAGACUG